CACUUUUAAUUUUGGAUGCCU
rnacentral:siRNA from 1 species